GAGUUUAGUUUUUUAAUGAUUAAAGGAGAGCUUGACGAGAUUGUGGCUGAACUUGAAGUGAGUAGAAGAAAACUAGUCGGUUUGAAGAUGCAAAAGGAUGCAGCUAUGGGAAUGAAUUCCACCAAUGCUGAUGUAGUGAAUGGAAACUUGUCUCCUGAGAAGCCUGCAGAGAGAGCCAUUACUUUGUCCGACUUGAAAAAUUCAAUUGAGGAAGCCAAGAUAGUGAAUGAUGAUCGUCUUUCAGAGCUUCAAGAUGCACGGGUAGGAAAUUAAAUAUUGACAAAGCAAUUCCAAGAACGCCAGAAUCCAAAUGGAAAAUUCAGAUCACCACCAACCAGACAAGAAGAAGCAGCAUCUUUUCACACCUGUUUCUUCCUGCAUCUCACCAAAUUCAACCAACCAUUCUCCUAACAGUAAAAACA